UGCAAGUCGAGUGCGCAGUUUUCUGUAGCAAUACAGGAAAUGGGCGCACGGCGCACGGGUGCGUAACACGUGGGCAACCUGCCCUUCGGUGGGGAAUAACCCCGCGAAAGCGGGGCUAAUACCGCAUAACAUUCCGGGAACCUCGGUUUCCGGACUCAACGUCCGCAAGGACGCCGAUGGAGGGGCCCGCGCCCGAUUAGCUUGUUGGUAGGGUAACGGCCUACCAAGGCGAUGAUCGGUAGCCGGUCUGAGAGGACGACCGGCCACACUGGAACUGAGACACGGUCCAGACUCCUACGGGAGGCAGCAGUGGGGAAUCUUGCGCAAUGGGCGAAAGCCUGACGCAGCGACGCCGCGUGGGGGAUGAAGCUUCUCGGAGUGUAAACCCCUUUCGACCCGGACGAAUGCCCCGCAAGGGGAGGGACGGUACGGGUAGAAGAAGUCCCGGCUAACUACGUGCCAGCAGCCGCGGUAAGACGUAGGGGGCCAGCGUUGCUCGGAAUAACUGGGCGUAAAGGGUCCGUAGGCGGUGCAGCAAGUCGGGAGUGAAAUCUCUGGGCUUAACCCAGAGACUGCUUCCGAAACUGCUGUGCUCGAGUGCGAGAGAGGCGAGUGGAAUUGCAGGUGUAGCGGUGAAAUGCGUAGAUAUCUGCAGGAACACCAGAGGCGAAGGCGGCUCGCUGGAUCGCAACUGACGCUGAGGGACGAAAGCUAGGGGAGCAAACGGGAUUAGAUACCCUGGUAGUCCUAGCCCUAAACCAUCAGGACUUGGCGUAUCCCGUGUUUGCGGGAUGUGCCGUAGCUAACGCGAUAAGUCCUGCGCCUGGGGAGUACGGUCGCAAGGCUGAAACUCAAAGGAAUUGACGGGGGCCCGCACAAGCGGUGGAACAUGUGGUUCAAUUCGACGCAACGCGAAGAACCUUACCUGGGCUUGAAGACAUACAGGAUGUACUGAGGGGAAAGCCGAGCGACCGUUCGGGGAGCCUUAACAGGUGCUGCAUGGGUGUCGUCAGGUUUAGUGUCGAGAUGAGGGCUUAACUCCCGCAUUGAGCGCAACCCCCGUCAAGAGUUACAAGUGUAUAGCGAGACUGCUGGUAUAAAACGGGAGGAAGGUGGGGAAGACGUCAUGUCCGCAUGCUCUUUAUCUCCAGGGCUACACACACGCUACAAUGGCCGGUACAAUGGGUUGCCACCUUGCAAAAAGGCCCUAACCCCCAAAUCCCUUUUCAUUUCAAAUUCUGUUUUGCAACCAGACGCCAUAAAGGUGGAGUUGUUAGUAACCGCGAUUCACCCAUAGUGCGGUGAAUGCGUUCCCGGGCUUUGUACACACCCCCCGUCACAUCGGAGGACCUGGUAACACCAGAAGUCGGUGACCGAACCGCAAGAGAGCAGCUG
rnacentral:rRNA from 1 species